CUUGCCUUCCUUGGUCCUGGCUUCAAGGAGAUUGUUGAUCAAUCAGCGCUGGCCCAUGAAGGGCCGAUCACAGCCUCAUAUUAACUGAUGCUCAGGUGUGUUUGCCAUGAACUCGUUUCUUGCUGCAAAGGCCUUUCUUGGAACAGUGUGAGGAGGCUUCAGUGGGGCAGCCUGAAUAACCCAAGCCAGGGGCAGAGAGAGAGGAACGCAGAGGAAAAUAGAGAAGCUGUAGGGGACCCUGGCCCAACGCUACCUGGCCCAACCCUACCUGGCCUAGCUGGCAUGGCCAGCCGUACCUGCCCAGCAGACAGCUGGACAGAAUGGAGGACAGCCUGCAGCAGCUGAGCCUAUUCAGGGAGUGCAAGGUGCCUGCAAGAGCCUAAAAGGACAGUGAUGUCAGAACACUGACGUCACAGGCAAGCCCUCCAAACAGAGAUGAGAGAGGAGACCAGAGCCCCGAGUAGGAAGAUGCCGGGCCCUGUCCUGCCUGGGUCUGCCUGGGGUGCCCAGCUGCUCUGCUGUGUGGCCCUCUGUCUCCUGUGGACAGGUCCAGUGGGUGCUGGAGUCAUCCAGACCCCCAGACACCUAAUCAAAGGCAGCGGGGGGAAGGCUCUUCUGGAAUGCCAUCUCGUCUCUGGACACAACACUGUGCGCUGGUACAAGCAGGCCCCGGGACAGGGCCCCCAGUUCCUCUUUGAGUAUUAUAGACAGGAGCAGAGAGACAAAGGAGACGUCUCCGCACGAUUCUCAGCACAGCAGUUCAGUGACGCCAGCUCCCAGCUGGAGAUGAACCCCCUGGAGCUGGGAGACUCAGCCCUGUAUCUCUGUGCCAGCAGCUUGGCACAGCCCUGCGGUGUGACUGGCUUUCUGUACUCAAACUUUCCUGUCCCAGCUGAGGAUAUAAGGGGGGGGGGUGUUCUUAGCCAAGUUCCAGGGAUGCAUUUAGUUUCUUUUCUAACCCUCUGCCUUGCUGAGCUCAGCCAGAGCACCCCUGAACAUGUGAGCCCCAGAUUCACUGAAUAUUCUCGAAAUCCCUAGCUGAUGGCAAGAGCUCCUGUGCUGUGCUACAGUGUAAGUGUAACUGUAAUGCAAGAUAGACAUAGCAUGUCCAUUUUACAGAUGAGGAAGCUCUCAGUAUGCCAUGUUACAGAUAAGAAACAGUAGUAGUUCAUGGACUUUCCAAAGAUUUCGUAUUUAAAGUCUCAGAGGCAGGAGUCGAAUCCAAGUCUCCAUGCCUCCGAAACCAAUAUUUCCUUAAAAUUGCAUGGUGUUAUCUGGGCCUUGGGCAGUAAGAUGUAGCAGACCACUGUCUUCCAUUUCAGUACUGGCUGUGGUGGGGAGGGCUCACAUCAUGGUGUGGGGGUUUCUUCUCUUUUUUUUUUUUUUUAAUUUUAUUUAUUUGUUCAUGAGAGACACAGAGAGAGGCAGAGACAGACAGAGGGAGAAGCAGGCUCCCUAUGGGACUUGGAUCCCUGGAGUGGGAUCAUGCCUUGAGCAGAAGGCAAAUGCUCAACCCCUGAGCCACCCAGGCACCCCGCUGGAGUUGGGUUUCUAUAGCUACUGCCUGCCCACUCCUAGGACUAGCUUCAAGCCAGAGAAUGUGUGUUUGUUCCAUCAUAGUUCCACUAGGAUGGGGCCAAGGUAGCCCCCAAUACAGGAGCUAAGUGAUUAGGGAGUUUCUAGUCUAUCAGAGGAUUCAGCCAAGGAAACAGGGGCCCUCCAGGAAUCUCAAGCAGAAUGGGAGUUAAUACAGGGAAUAGUGCUUCUAAACCAUAAGAAGUUCUAGAGGAGGAAGGGUCCUUGGAGGCUGCAGCUCACUCACAUGUCUAGCACUUUCUAUCAGAAAAGCUGCAAUUGUUACUUCUUGCCCAGGCCAGUCACUGCAGAAAACAGCAGAGAGCCACAGCUAAUAAAUGUGUGGCAUAGCCAUUUACAGGUGGCAGGUACAAGUUUAUUGGCGAACACACACUGUUUUAAUCCUAUUCCUUUUAUUUGAAGUUAUAGAAAAUUCACUUAUUUAUUGCUCAUUUUUCUCUGUGGCACGUACUUAAGUGCAUUAUUUCAGUUAAUUUUCUUGAGACCCACAUGAGACAGGACAAUUUAUCCACACUGCAGGUGAAAAUACCAGUGGCUAGAGUGUAGGUCAUUUGCUGAAGGGGGCCCAGCUCACAGAUAUUGGACUGGCACUCAAACCUAGGCCACACUGACUUAACUGCUACGCUUCUGCAUUUUGGUAGAGGGAGACAUCUGCGCAACUGGAAUACUGACCCAAAAGUGCCUUCCAGAAACACUGGCCCUGAUACAGUCAUUUGCACAGGGUUGCUACCUACUGAAGAGGACUUCCAAGGUUUCAAUCUAUUCAUAUUCUGACCUGCCUUGGACCAGUGACCUGGAAAAUAUCUGGCUUGGUUUUCCCACUUGUAAACUA